GAGGGUAUAGCUCAGUGGAAGAGUCUGUGCUUAGCAUGCACAAGAUCCUGGGUUCAAUCCCUAGUACCUCCA
rnacentral:tRNA from 1 species